GGGACAGGGACGGGGACAGGGGCUGUGGCACCCUGGCAGGGACCCCCAGGGAUGGGGACACUAUGGCAGGGGGACCCCGGGCGCAGGGAGGAGCAGGUGUCACCUUGGGGUGACAGGGGUGGAAACGGGGUGGCAGAGGGGGCAGCAAUGGGGAUGUGUCACCCGGGAUGACAGAGGGGACACGGCGCCCUGCAGUGACCGGGACACGGGGGGACAGAGGCGACGCGGGGCGACGGGGACGCAGCACCCGGGGUGACAGAGGCGACGGGGACGCUGGCACCCUCUGAGCUGCUUUAUUCUAUUUACAGGGGCGGGAGGGGGCCGGGUGGCGGGACGGGUGUCCCCAGGGUGUCCCCAGGGUGUCCCCCGCGGUGCUGGGCGAAGGCACAGAAAGGAUGGGGCACCCUGGGGUGCAGAGCUGGCAGGGGUGCUCUGGGGCGCAGGAGGACGCGGUGGGGUACAGGGGUCACGCUGUGGUGUGCAGGAUGCCCCAAGGACACCCUGGGGUCACCCAUGGGUGCUGGUGGGCGUCCUAGGCUGCAGGAUGCCCCAAGGGCAUGUUGAGCACCCUGGGGUGCAGGACCGUUGGGCACCAUGUGGUGCAGCAUGGCACCGUGGGCACCUUUGAGCACCAAGGGGUGCAGGAUGCCCCUUGGGCAACCAAGGACACCUUGAGCCGUGGGAUGCCACCAUGGGAACCCAAAGGUGCUCUUGGUUACCGCAGGAUGCCCCAUGGGCACCCAAAGGUGCUCUUGGUUCCCAUGAGCUGCAGGAUGCCCCCAAGGACACCUGGGGGCACUGUUGAGCACCAAGGGGUGCAGGAUGGCACCAGUGGCACCCAAGGACAUCCUAGGCCAUGGGAUGCCCCAUGGGUGCCCAAGGCCACCCAAGGGCACUGUUGAGCACCAAGGGGUGCAGGAUGGCACCAUGGGCACCCAAAGGUCCUCCUGGUUCUCAUGAGCUGCAGGGUGCCACAAGGGCACCGCUGAGCACCGAGGGGCACAGGAUGGCACCAUGGGCACCCAAGGGCACUGCUCAGCACCAAGGGGUGCAGGAUGGUGCCCCAAGCACCCAAAGGUGCUCCCGUUUCCCACGGGCUGAAGGAUGCCUCAAGAGCACCAUUGAACACCAAGAGGUGCAGGAUGCCCCAUGGGCACCCAAAGGUGCUCCCGGUUCCCAUGAGCUGCAGGAUGCUCCAAGGGCACCGUUGAGCACCAAGGGAUGCAGGAUGGCAUCAGGGGCACCCAAGGGCACCGCUGAGCACCAAGAGGUGCAGGAUGGCAUCAGGGGCACCCAAGGGCACCGCUGAGCACCAAGAGGUGUAGGAUGCCCCAUGGGCACCCAAAGGUGCUCCUGGUUCCCGUGAGCUGCAGGAUGCUCCAAGGGCACCGUUGAGUACCGAGGGGUGCAGGAUGGCAUCAGGGACACCCAAGGGCACCGUUGAGCACCAAGGGGCGCAGGAUG
rnacentral:lncRNA from 1 species